CACACUCACACACCCAUUCAUACACUACGGACACUUUAGACACGCCAAUCCGCCUAUCGUGCAUGUCUUUGAACUUGGGGAGGAAACCGGAGUACCCGGAGGAAACCCCCGCAGCACGGGGAGAGCAUGCAAACUCCACACACACAGAGCCACGGUGGGAAUCGAACCCCCAACCCUAGAGGUGUGAGACGAACCUGCUAACAUAUAUAAAUAUUAGAAUAUAUAAUAUAAUAAAUCAGAUAACCAUAAAUUAAGAUCAGCAUUUAAUUCCCUUGGAAUUUGGGUGAGAAAUGUUUUCUUCCUUUUUUUUUUUUAAUAAUAAUAAAACCAAAAAAAAAAAAAAUCAAGAUGAUAAUAUCAUAAGCAUAGCUCAGACACAAUAAUGUAAACAAUAUAAUCAAAUCAGUGCCAGGAAAGGAUAUAAACACAGAUUAACGUACAAAAAAAUAAAUAAAUAAAAACAUAAAAAUCUUUAAAACACACAAACUUCAUAAAGGCGUGGAGUGACGUCAUCUCCCGACCAAUCAGGUGGCGAGUUUGGAGGCACGCGGCGCGAAAAACACACCUCAUAGACAGUACACCGGUCUCGUUAGUGAGUUAAUAUGACGUGAUUUUUGAUGAAUGUUUUAUUUCCGAUAUUCCAAAGUUGAAAUAUGACUAAAAAUAAGAGCUUGUCUAUUUUCCGGUACAUUAAACGAUACACGAUGUGACUUCGCACAAGCAGUUCAAAUUGUGUUGAUUUUCUGCCUGUAAAUCCACAGCGAGGGCAAAAAUACUGGUUAAAACUAGUAAGAGCGUUGCUAUGGUUACAGCGCGCGUGAGCGCCGGGUGUCGAUUGUUCUGGAAAGAAAGAGAAAAACACUAAUUGUGGAAACAGCUUCACAGAUUUUUCCUCUAAAAAGCAAUGUUCCCAGCUGUGAAAGCCCAACUCCUCCAGCAUCAGCAUUACCUCCAUCUAUCCAACAUUUGAGGGUGUCCCAAACACCUCCAUACAUAGGGGAUUGCGUAUGUUUUUCCAGCGCCAUGUCGGUUGUGCCUUCGCCGGUGGAAGUUCGUGGACGUCCACGUCUCGGUUGGUCCGCAACACUCCAGAAUUUGUUCAUAUGUUGGCGACAGUGUCGUGCGUGAUGUUCUUGGCAUGUUUCCCCUGUUGAAGUCCAUCGCAACCUUCGCGACAGCUUCCUGAUCCAGCCAUGUUAAUUUUCCCUAUCGGAGAUCUUUAUCUCGGUCAGGGUCAUGGUAGAUCUGAAGAAUGUUUGGUGUGAGACCACCAGGCAGUUUCCUUCAAAAUUACUGGAAUUUUACCAGUAUUGCUCAACACCUUGACGAGUACCAGCGGUGAAGUUGUCAUCUUGUGACCGUGACCCUAUAUACAUAGGCAGCCUACAAAAGCUAUGUUGCUAUGCCACACCUAUCCAAUUUUCCAAUGUCUAAUUAUUGUCAAUUGAGGACACAAGACACUAGGUAUAGCAUUAUAAUUCAUUGUUUUUCACACCAAACAAAGGGGCGUGUUCUUGCAUUUGACUUAUUACUUAUUUCUGACUAUGAAUGGCAUUAUCAGUGAGGGAUGGCAUGGCGUUUGUUCUGGCAGAACCAGAUGCAGUUGGAUGAUCAAAGCCCUACCCUAUCAUUUAUCUAUCAUGUACUGUAUGAAAGAAGGUAAGUUUGUAUGCUGCAUUGUGGCAGCGAAAACAGAAAUGGUCAGACGGUUCGUUUCUUAAGUCCCUGCAAUGAGAAGAGUGAGCACUUUAACAGAAGAAGAAACUGUGAGCAGGAAUGCAACACGGCAACGAAGUGCAAAACUCAGAGGAGCUUAGUACAGGUGGCCCGCAUACAGAGACAGACCCGGAUGUAAUCUCAGUGGCUGUUUUGUACCCCAGUGGUGGUUGAUGUAAAACAGCGACCAAGCAGCUUUGUAGGCAAGCUCGACAAGUGGACCUUCUGUCUUAAGAGCUGCCUAUGUAUUGGCCAGAUGCAGCCGGAUAGGGGACGUGCUAUCUCUCAGCAGUCCUGUGCCUAGGGAUUGGCAAAAUUACAUUAGAGCACAGGUCGAUAUGACAGACUGUACAAUUGUAUUUACAGACAAGGCAAACGAUUUGGGUCACAAUGUGUUGGCUAAAUCUACUAAACCUCUCUAUUAGAUUUUUCUAUUAGUCUAUGCUUAUAGUUUAAAAUGGUUUUGUGCCUUUUCCCUGUUCUCAUGGCCCUUUGCUCUAUUUCCAAGCUAAGACAAAAUGUGUGUUUAUGCCUUUUUAGUUAAACAGUGCCUCAAUUAGCACCGUACUCAGGAGGGUCAUUUGCAACCUGGGCACACUUUUUAUUCUGUUUGUGCUCAAUGUUACAUUAACAUAUUAAUGCCCUUGUCGUGCAUGUUGCUUGUAAGAAAAGGGGACUGUUUUAAAGGUGACUUGUAAAACACGGACGAAUACAAAGAACGCUCUAUCGCAGAGUCAGUCAAGUGGACUUAUUGAUGGAUUAGGGGGCUUGCUUUUAAAGUCGA